AAUUGUGCGUUGCGCGCAGAGGUGCGCUCAAGCGGUCGCCAGUAUCUAUUCGAUCGUUGUGGAGUGAAAGUCAACGAAAAAAGCAUUAAAAAUGCCUCAUUGUGCUGUUAUUUGGUGUUACAAUCAAAGUAAAAACGUUAAUAAACAUAAUUCUGGCGUAUCAUAUUACAGGUAAGUAAGAAAACCCUACUUUUAGACUUUUUUAAAACUGUAAUCCAGAUGACAUGUGUCCAGAUGGUCAAGACUCGCUGUCAUCCUAUCUGGCCAUGCGAUAGUGAUGUGGUUAUGGUUGGGUGGCGUCAUGUCGAUAAUGUGUGUUGGUGAACAUGCAAAUAUAGACUUUGAAUUUUUUUUUAAAUCCAGACAAAUGCAUGUUCUAAUUAACGCAUCUAUAACAGAAACCUUACUUUUUUUUAGAUUUCCUAAUGAUCCUUAUAUUAGCAACAGGAAAGUACAACUGGUUUCCACAAAAACAUGAUACGAUAUGCUCUGAGCACUUCGAGGCUGUAAGUUUCAUAAAAAGGACUUCCAGAACUUACUUAACUUCUGAUGCUAUCCCAACAUGAAACUCCACCCCAUUAUUAAAGAGAUUAAUUCACAUUGUUCCACAAAGACUGUUGAAAUUCAUGACAUUGCUGCACCAGCAAAACGUAGAAAGAUGUCUGGUGAAGAUUCACUCGUAGAACCAGCCAAAGAAGCUAUUCAAGAUGGUAUAUCAAACACACAAGAAGAGACAACACCAAAUAUCCAAGACACACCACGCAGACGUAAAUUGAAAAUGUCUAUAUUGAGGGCUCAGCAAACCAUUAAAAGGCAAACACUUCUAGUAAAACGACUGAGAGCAAACAAUAUAAGGUUAUCAAAAAAAAUUGCUAAAAUGGAAAAUAUUAUAAAAUAUCUACGAGAGAAAUCUACUUAUACAUGAUGAGGAUAUAUUGACGUUACAGAGUACUAACGUAAAAAGUAAUAAUUUAACCUUCAAUCUAAAAGGUGUUUACUCAAAGGAAGUUAAGUCUUUUGCAUUAACUUUGCAUUAUUAUUCGCCAGAGGCGUAUAAUUAUGUGCGUGAAAAAUUUAAUACAUGUCUGCCUCAUCCAAGAACCAUUCAAAAAUGGUACCAAAGUGUCGAUGCGAAUGCUGGUUUUACUACAGAAUCGUUAACGGCAAUUACUUUGAUACAGAAACAAUCCGAACAUAAGAUUGUAUUAUGUAGUUUGACGUUAGACGAGAUGGCUAUCAGAAAGCGAGUUGAGUGGGAAGGGAAACAAUUUCACGGCUACGUCGACAUUGGUAGCAAUAUAAACAGUGAUGACUUAAAAGAAGC